AUACGUAGGGGGCGAGCGUUGUCCGGAAUGAUUGGGCGUAAAGGGCGCGUAGGCGGCGCGGUAAGUCUGGAGUGAAAGUCCUGCUUUCAAGGUGGGAAUUGCUUUGGAUACUGCCGCGCUUGAGUGCAGGAGAGGUUAUCGGAAUUCCCGGUGUAGCGGUGAAAUGCGUAGAGAUCGGGAGGAACACCAGUGGCGAAGGCGGGUAACUGGACUGCAACUGACGCUGAGGCGCGAAAGUGUGGGGAGCAAACAGGAUCAGAUACCCUGGUAGUCCACACUGUAAACGAUGAAUGCUAGGUGUAAGAGGUAUCGACCCCUUUUGUGCCGGAGUCAACACAAUAAGCAUUCCGCCUGGGGAGUACGGCCGCAAGGUUGAAACUCAAAUGAAUUGACGGGG
rnacentral:rRNA from 1 species